rnacentral:rRNA from 1 species
GGCAAAGCCGCGAGGUGGAGCAAAUCUCAAAAAGCCGUCCCAGUUCGGAUUGCAGGCUGCAACCCGCCUGCAUGAAGUUGGAAUCGCUAGUAAUCGCGGAUCAGCAUGCCGCGGUGAAUACGUUCCCGGGCCUUGUACACACCGCCCGUCACACCAUGAGAGUCGGGAACACCCGAAGUCCGUAGCCUAACCGCGAGGGGGGCGCGGUCGAAGGUGGGUUCGAUAAUUGGGGUGAAGUCGUAACAAGGUAUC